CAGUAGCCGCGGUAACACGUAGGGUGCGAGCGUUAAUCGGAAUUACUGGGCGUAAAGCGUGCGCAGGCGGUUAUAUAAGACAGAUGUGAAAUCCCCGGGCUCAACCUGGGACCUGCAUUUGUGACUGUAUAGCUAGAGUACGGUAGAGGGGGAUGGAAUUCCGCGUGUAGCAGUGAAAUGCAUAGAUAUGCGGAGGAACACUGAUGGCGAAGGCAAUCCCCUGGACCUGUACUGACGCUCAUGCACGAAAGCGUGGGGAGCAAACAGGAUUAGAUACCCCAGUAGUCCCUGUCUCUUAUAA
rnacentral:rRNA from 1 species